UGCACCUACCGAGUGUGGUAAUGGAAACGUCCACAAAUAAAAUCCUAUGGUUUUGUUCGCAGCUCGUAGUAGGUGCAUU
ncrna:unclassified sequences c4-2 RNA